UAAAUUUACCUGCAAAUUUGAUGAAUUCUG
rnacentral:piRNA from 1 species